UACGGAGGAUGCAAGCGUUAUCCGGAAUCAUUGGGCGUAAAGCGUCCGUAGGUGGCUUUUCAAGUCUGCCGUCAAAGACCGGGGCUUAACCCCAGAAAGGCGGUGGAAACUGAAUAGCUAGAGUGCAGUAGGGGUAGAGGGAAUUCCCGGUGUAGCGGUGAAAUGCGUAGAGAUCGGGAAGAACACCCGUGGCGAAAGCGGCUCUCUGGGACGGUACUGACGCUGAGACGCGAAAGCGUGGGGAGCAAACAGG
rnacentral:rRNA from 1 species